GAUGAACGCUGGCGGCGUGCCUAAUACAUGCAAGUCGAGCGAACAGACGAGAGUGCUUGCACUCUCUGACGUUAGCGGCGGACGGGUGAGUAACACAUGGGUAACCUACCUAUAAGACUGGGAUAACUUCGGGAAACCGGAGCUAAUACCGGAUAAUAUUUAGCUUCGCAUGAAGCAAUAGUGAAAGACGGUUCUGCUGUCACUUAUAGAUGGACCCGCGGUGUAUUAGCUAGUUGGUGAGGUAACGGCUCACCAAGGCAACGAUACAUAGCCGACCUGAGAGGGUGAUCGGCCACACUGGGACUGAGACACGGCCCAGACUCCUACGGGAGGCAGCAGUAGGGAAUCUUCCGCAAAGGACGAAAGUCUGACGGAGCAAUGCCGCGUGAGUGAAGAAGGUUUUCGGAUCGUAAAACUCUGUUGUAAGGGAAGAACAAGUACGUUAGUAACUGAACGUACCUUGACGGUACCUUACCAGAAAGCCACGGCUAACUACGUG
rnacentral:rRNA from 1 species